CAGCUUUUGACCUUGGGCAUGUUUCUGAAUUCAUCUGAGCCUUGUCCUUAUUCUAAAAAUUGGGACCCAAACACCUAACUUUCAGGGUAAUUUUGAAGAUGAAGUGUGUGGUAAGAAGAAAAGAGUCUAGUUUACAAUCCUUGAUUCUUAAGAGCCUGAUAGACAUUUGACAUUUCGUUCUUUAUUUCUACUUCAUGCCAGCCUAUCCUGUCCCAUUAAGUGCAUGGUCGCCUUACCAGCGGAAACAGCAUUCUAAGUUUUUGGUCCAAGUUACAAGGACAAAUUCAUUGCUCAAAGAGCAUUGUGUGUAUUUUAUUUUCUUAUGACAAAAAUUUAUGUAUAUUAAGCUCUUUGACUAGGGCUUUCUUGACAUCUCAAUCCUUAGGAGAGCUAUGAUUGACGGUACACAGAUUGUUUGGUGCGUGGUCUUUAGAAUGAGUCUAAGUAUUUGAACUUUCUGCUGGUAAUAAACUGAGGAAAUAUGGGACACAGCAUGUACUAGGCUUUAUUAGACAUUUUAACACACACUGGUUAUAAGCCAAAUACUAACUCUGUAUGCAUUUUCUCAUUUAAUCUACUCAACAACUCUAUAAAAUAGAUAUUAUUAUGAUACCCUUUUUGUAAAUAAAUAUAUUGACAUCUAGAAAGCUUGAGUGAGUUAAGCAGACAGAAAGUAACGAUUUCAAAUCACAAACAAAUUUUCUGAUCCAGUGUUGCCUCUGGAGUAUUAGUACAGGAAUGCAUGAUGCAGAACAUGUGAAAUAGGCAGUAGAGAGUUUUCUUUUUCUUUUGUUUUAUGGUUGCUUCUGCAGUCUGUGGAAGUUCCCAGGCAGGAAUAGAAUAAGAACUGCAGCGGGGGCACAUGCUGCAGCCACAACACCACCAGAUCCAAGCCACUUCUACAACCUAUAGUGUAGCUUGCAGCAACCCUGGAUUCUUAAUCCACUGAAUGAAGCCAGGGACUGAACUGGCAUCCUUACAGAGAUGUCGGGUCCUUAACCUACUGAGCCACAAAGGGAACUCCAGUGGAGAGAUUUUUAAUUCAUGCUGGCUUGAAUUACCAAUACUCAGUGUGCAUUGUGUACAGUUUUGUAUUUCAAGAAAGAUGAUUCACAAUGAUGUAUUUUGUUUAUGUUCAUUUUUCUUAAAUUCUUAACAUGCUCUGGAAAUUUUCCUUUCUAAGUUUAUUUUCAUAAGGAAUACCUGUUAAUGACAUUAAAAUAUGUAGAUAAACAAAGCUAGUAAACAAAAGUCGAGACAUCAUAUAAACUCACGACAAAGGAAAAAAUUGUUCAUAUUUUUGUACAUGUACUUGCAGAUAAAUACUUGUGCAGACGUGCACAUACAUAUUUGUUAGCCAUACAAUAGAAGCAUACUACAAUACUAUUUUGCACCUUUUCGUUCAUAUUAUAUAUCACGAGCAUCUUUCCUUGACAUGAAGUUUGCUUCCACCAAACCGAGCUUUGUUAUUAUGUCUGUGUGGUGUGUAUAAAGAUGUUCUGGAGCAUAUUUUAGUCUUUUUUUGAGCAUUCAGGUUUUACGCUGCAGUGAACAUGCUUUUAAUGAAAUCUUGUGCACCUUCUAAAUUAUUUUAUUAAGUUCCUUCAAGUACACUAGCUGUGUUAUAUGGUACACUAAAUUUUAUAGCUUUUGAUCUGUAAUGCCAAGUGGCCCUCCAGGUAGUCAGAACCCUUUAUAUAAGAUAGCAUCUCCCUGUUUUAUUAAUAAUGACUCAUAGACAUAAAUAAAGAUAUUUAACAUGUUAAUUUGGUCUCAAACUCCCAAAGGAGAAAAAAAAAUAAAGUCAGAAAAGCCUUGUAGUGUGGAAAUUGUGCUUGCCCUCUAGGAUCAUUGCUAUUUCAUCAAUAUUUCCCUUGAAUAUAAUAAAUAUAAACACAAGAGCCUUCAAGUAUCUGGAAAAGAUAGAUAUUUCAAACAUACAACAUGGUGUGGCCUAAAAGUUUGAGAUGUGGUUAACCAGGAGAAAUUUCCAUAUUUUAAUGAAGAAAUUAGCAUAUGUUUUUUAUCGCCGUGAAAUUAAAAAAAAAAACUCUUUCCAAUUCCUUUUAUGAGAAAGUUGAUGUCAUGGAUGUGCUAUUUAGUUUCCUUGAGGGAACAACAUUUCCAAAGAAGUGAGAAUUGUUUUUCUGCAAAGAACUGCUUCCAAGUUGGUUAAAACUGGUUCAACAUUCUGCUUUAAUCUUACAUUAAAUGCAAGUGUCAAAAAAUAUAUUUUCAUGGGUAAUCUUUGGACAGCCACAUGCACUAGGUUGAAUACUGUCAUUUAGAUGUAAAAUUUACUGUGAAAACGUUAUUAUAGGUCAAUGAAUGAAAAUAAUAUAUUGAAGAAUAAGCCAUAUUUCUAAUAUAUUCAUUACUAUCACAAUCAAAUUAACAUUUAAAAUUCAUAGUUAGUCCAGAAUCUGCCUUCUAUGAACCCACAGAACAGAUGUACAGAAGCUCUCAAAGCUGAAAUAUAUUUCAAAAUUGUGCUCUCUUGAGAGUGUAUAUGGACUCUGUAGGUGUUAUUUCAAUAUGUUUGAAAAUUAAUGUAUAAAAAAAUUUAGACUUGUAAAAUUAAACUGGUUUCCAUAUCUGAUUCACUCUAUAUCCUUUAUGUAAAUUUACAUUCAUCUUUAUGGAUUUGCAAGAAUCAGAAGUAAUAACCCAAACACUUAUCACAUAGUACAUAGCUUUUAAACCAAAACUAUCUCUGUUCAAAAGAAAUGGUCAUACCUAUUACCCUAACAGAAAGAUAUAGGUGUUUUUGGUGAAUUGUUUUUAUAUUCCCAAACAUUUGCUUUUAAGUUUCUAUAUACCGGCAUUGUUUAUAGCAUUUUACCUCCACUGUAGAGCUGCUGAAAGGAAAAUAAAAGCUAAGGUCAGGCUUAAAAGUGAACCUUUCCAGCAGUUACCUUUUCAUAGCUCUGUUUUGUUUUCUUUAAAUUGAGACGUGGACAUUUCAAACUGAAUCUGGCCACUGUGUAUUUAGCACGUCAAACAUUGAAUGCCAUAACUCCUUCAAUCUGCAGUCUAGUCAGGUAAAGCUAAGUAAAAGCAGUAAACAUUUGGGUUUAAUUGUUGGCAUCACAGAUGGGAAUGGAAGAAAGCAGACAGAUGUUAAGACUCUUUGUAUUAUUUAACAAGCAAGUUGUGUCCAAGGAAUGACUAUAUCUUUGCUCCUUCAUUUUUUAAAGAAACGUCCCUGGUCUCUGCUCUUCUGGAACAAAAAAAGAAAUUGAACAUGCUAAUGAGAAUAUUAAAAAUUAUAGGUGUGUAGUUCCCUUGGUAGCUCAGGGGGAUAAGGAACCGACGUAGUAUCCAUGAGGAUGUGGGUUUGAUCCCUGGCCUCACUCAUUGGGUGAAGGAUCUGGCAUUGCCACAAGAUGAGGCGUAGGUUGCUGAUGUGGCUCAGGUUCAUUGUCACUGUGGUUGUGGCAGAGGCCUGCAGCUGCAGCUCCAAUUUGACCCUUGGCAUGGGAAUUUUCAUCGAUUGUAGGUGUGGCC
rnacentral:lncRNA from 1 species